ACCUGAUACCAUAUGCCACGGUCAACAUCACAUUACUUUCGCAACAACUCACACGAACACUUCGUUCGUGAAUUCGAGUUAGACUCCUCGAUAAGGCUAUCCGCCAAACCGCUCUCUUCGGUCUCCACAGGUGGACCAAAGGCCACCAAUCCUACGUAGGCCUACCGCCUAACCUUUCUCAAUACGCAGCGUCUCUCGCUCGCAAUGCAGACCCAAUCAUCAUUGGGGCGAAAUUCUCACUUGGGAAUUCGCACACACUCCAACCAGGAGCAACUAAGAUCCNUAUCUAUCUAUCUCUCUAUCUGUGCCAGCUUAGACCUAGUGGGAAAACCGGCGGCGUCGGCGGCCGAACCCACUGGGAACUAUAUUUAUAUAGUUCUCACCCCGUGUGGUUUUGGGGUACAGGUACACAUAGAGGCGAGCCGAGCGAGGACCGCGGCAAGGGCAUAGCGCCCUAAGUGAGCCUAGUUAGUAGCUUUUCCUUAUGCAUUAGAGUACCCUCGUGUACUAGUUGAUAUUUUGGAUAGAUAUCAGAGAGCUACUUGUAUUUUGAAGAAAACAUGUACUUACAUUUUGGAAGAUGAAAAUAUAAUAUGUUCAAAUAAUGUAAAUGUUGAACGAUUGUGAUAGUUAGACUAUCUCUCUUUAUACACUUGUAUAUCACUUGUGGUUCUUGCUCUUAGAUGUAUUGCACUUGUGUGCAUCGUAUUUGAUCAUGUAUGUUAUUUAAGCAAAUUUCCUGGGUGCUUAAUUGUACAUGAUCUGGUUGCUUGGCCUUGGGCGGACAGCAGAGGUACUGUCCGUUCGGCGGUCCGUCUGAUGUGCCCGAACCGUGCCAAAUUGGUAGUGGAUUCGAGGCGGGGCGUGACAAACACCACCUGCCACUCGACACACAAAGAACUUUUCUUUGCAUUGACUCCCCCUUCAGGGAAUACAUUCCUAUUCGAUCACCGACAUUGCUUAAAAGCGAUAUCACCGGUGCAUCGCUUCGUCGUGAGUGCUCUAAUUUCGCACAGACCCUUAACUUUAUCGUGAGGUGGCCCACCUCGGCGCAUCCCAAUUCCAAUCCUCAAACUCCACGUGGCUUGCCACUAGCUCAAGGCCUCACAAAGAGCACUUCAUCUUCUGAUACCAUAUGCCACGGUCAACAUUGAACUAAUUUCGCAUCGAGCUCACACGAACGCUUCAUUCGUGGAUUCGAGUUAGACUCCUCGAUAAGGCUAUCCGCCAAACCGCUCUCUUCGGUCUCCACAGGUGGACCAAAGGCCACCAAUCCUACGUAAGCCUACCGCCUAACCUUUCUCAAUACGCAGCGUCUCUCGCUCGCAAUGCAGACCCAAUCAUCAUUGGGGCGAAAUUCUCACUUGGAAAUUCGCACACACUCCAACCAGGAGCAACUAAGAUCCCAAACCGUUACAGAUUCCCGGGUUGGGUCACACUCGCACUCUCAGUAUACUAUCAAUCGCACUACAUGCUCUAUAGCACAAUACGUACCACUAUCGGCUCCUAUGCACCUAGUGCGAGCCACCAGCCCCACGAGUGAUCCGUGGCACGCUUCACACCUAGCAAUGCUCAGGUGCUACUGCCAACACACUCAUCCGGCUAAACUAAAUCCGCACUCCACGAGUAACUAUACUCGUAUAUCGCACGCCUCUAAAGCGCUCCACACUAUGUCCAGCAUUAGGCAACUCUUGCCUAUGCACACCGGCCACACAAGCAUGGCUCACCUACCUCGAUUCAAGGUACUAUUAGGCAAAAGCGCCAAUAGUUGGCAACAAACCGUUCCAUCGGAGCAACAUCCGGAAUACUCGAACCAUUCGAGUGUCCACAAGUGUCACGUCACAACUCUCGCAAUCAGCUAUACAUUGCUCUGCGAGUUAGUCCGUCACUCCCAUCUCUACUGUGAAUCUCAUCAUUAGACCAUCACUAGCAACUCGCUAGUGCCACCCAGUUCUCUACCUGCACCGGCAGGUGCAACGCUUUCACCACAUAAGCGUGCCCGGGUAUUUACAUUUAUCCGCUCACUUGGACCCUACUAUGCUACUACAUAAAUAGUAGUAAUUAAUUACAUGCUCAACGCUACAAUGCACCAACUUUACAUUAUGCAGAAACACAUAACUGCAUUAAUGGCUCAUACCUGCCAUGACGUUGUCAGCAGCAGGUUCCAUAUCCCGGACAUAGUUCACGAUAGGGAGAAUUCCCGUUCGUACUCUCUAACUGAGCGGUCUCCUUGCCGCAGCUUCCUGAACUUGUCCUGAAGCUUUCUCUUUUCACUAUCGGGAGAAGUAAGUAGAAGAUACCAAUCCCCAAAACUCAUCCCAUGCCAUGGAGGAAUACUAGGC
rnacentral:lncRNA from 1 species